CGGGGGGCGGUCUUACACAUGCAAGUCGAGCGGCAGCGGAAGUAGCUUGCUACUUUGCCGGCGAGCGGCGGACGGGUGAGUAAUGUCUGGGAAACUGCCUGAUGGAGGGGGAUAACUACUGGAAACGGUAGCUAAUACCGCAUAACGUCGCAAGACCAAAGAGGGGGACCUUCGGGCCUCUUGCCAUCAGAUGUGCCCAGAUGGGAUUAGCUAGUAGGUGGGGUAACGGCUCACCUAGGCGACGAUCCCUAGCUGGUCUGAGAGGAUGACCAGCCACACUGGAACUGAGACACGGUCCAGACUCCUACGGGAGGCAGCAGUGGGGAAUAUUGCACAAUGGGCGCAAGCCUGAUGCAGCCAUGCCGCGUGUAUGAAGAAGGCCUUCGGGUUGUAAAGUACUUUCAGCGGGGAGGAAGGCGUUGAGGUUAAUAACCUCAGCGAUUGACGUUACCCGCAGAAGAAGCACCGGCUAACUCCGUGCCAGCAGCCGCGGUAAUACGGAGGGUGCAAGCGUUAAUCGGAAUUACUGGGCGUAAAGCGCACGCAGGCGGUCUGUCAAGUCGGAUGUGAAAUCCCCGGGCUCAACCUGGGAACUGCAUUCGAAACUGGCAGGCUAGAGUCUUGUAGAGGGGGGUAGAAUUCCAGGUGUAGCGGUGAAAUGCGUAGAGAUCUGGAGGAAUACCGGUGGCGAAGGCGGCCCCCUGGACAAAGACUGACGCUCAGGUGCGAAAGCGUGGGGAGCAAACAGGAUUAGAUACCCUGGUAGUCCACGCCGUAAACGAUGUCGACUUGGAGGUUGUGCCCUUGAGGCGUGGCUUCCGGAGCUAACGCGUUAAGUCGACCGCCUGGGGAGUACGGCCGCAAGGUUAAAACUCAAAUGAAUUGACGGGGGCCCGCACAAGCGGUGGAGCAUGUGGUUUAAUUCGAUGCAACGCGAAGAACCUUACCUACUCUUGACAUCCAGAGAACUUAGCAGAGAUGCUUUGGUGCCCUUCGGGAACUCUGAGACAGUGCUGCAUGGCUGUCGUCAGCUCGUGUUGUGAAAUGUUGGGUUAAGUCCCCGCAACGAGCGCAACCCUUUAUCCUUUUGUUGCCAGCGGUUAGGCCCGGAACCUCAAAGGAGACUGCCAGUGAUAACUUGGAGGGAGGUGGGGGAUGACGUUCAGUCAUCAUUGCCCUUUACAGAUAGCUACCCACGUGCCUACAUUGCGCCAAUACAGAGAGAAGGCCGAACCUUCCCGAGGAC
rnacentral:rRNA from 1 species